rnacentral:rRNA from 1 species
CCUACGGGCGGCUGCAGUAGGGAAUCUUCCACAAUGGGCGAAAGCCUGAUGGAGCAACGCCGCGUGGGUGAAGAAGGUCUUCGGAUCGUAAAACCCUGUUGUUAGAGAAGAAAGUGCGGGAGAGUAACUGUUCACGUGUCGACGGUAUCUAACCAGAAAGCCACGGCUAACUACGUGCCAGCAGCCGCGGUAAUACGUAGGUGGCAAGCGUUAUCCGGAUUUAUUGGGCGUUAAGGGAACGCGGGCGGUCUUUUAAGUCUGAUGUGAAAGCCUUCGGCUUAACCGGAGUAGUGCAUUGGAAACUGGGAGACUUGAGUGCAGAAGAGGAGAGUGGAACUCCAUGUGUAGCGGUGAAAUGCGUAGAUAUAUGGAAGAACACCAGUGGCGAAAGCGGCUCUCUGGUCUGUAACUGACGCUGAGGUCCGAAAGCGUGGGUAGCAAACAGGAUUAGAUACCCCAGUAGUC